GAUGAACGCUGGCGGCGUGCCUAAUACAUGCAAGUCGAGCGAACAGACGAGGAGCUUGCUCCUCUGACGUUAGCGGCGGACGGGUGAGUAACACGUGGAUAACCUACCUAUAAGACUGGUAUAACUUCGGGAAACCGGAGCUAAUACCGGAUAAUAUAUUGAACCGCAUGGUUCGAUAGUGAAAGACGGUUUUGCUGUCACUUAUAGAUGGAUCCGCGCCGCAUUAGCUAGUUGGUAAGGUAACGGCUUACCAAGGCGACGAUGCGUAGCCGACCUGAGAGGGUGAUCGGCCACACUGGAACUGAGACACGGUCCAGACUACUAAGGGAGGCAGCAGUAGGGAAUCUUCCGCAAUGGGCGAAAGCCUGACGGAGCAACGCCGCGUGAGUGAUGAAGGUCUUCGGAUCGUAAAACUCUGUUAUUAGGGAAGAACAAAUGUGUAAGUAACUAUGCACGUCUUGACGGUAACUAAUAAGAAAGCCACGGCUAACUACGUG
rnacentral:rRNA from 1 species